CGGGCUUUGGCGCCGGUCUAAGUCCCUUGGAACGGGGCGUCAGAGAGGGUGAGAAUCCCGUAUGCGACCGGUGCCGGAGUCUAUGUGAAACCCCUUCGACGAGUCGAGUUGUUUGGGAAUGCAGCUCAAAACGGGUGGUAAAUUUCAUCUAAAGCUAAAUACCGGCCAGAGACCGAUAGCGCACAAGUAGAGUGAUCGAAAGAUGAAAAGCACUUUGGAAAGAGAGUCAAAAAGUACGUGAAAUUGUUGAAAGGGAAGCGCUUGCAACCAGACUUGCCCGCGGGUGAUCAGCCGUCCUUCUGGGCGGUGCACUCGCCCGCGAUCAGGCCAGCAUCGGUUCGGGCGGUCGGAUAAAGGCCUCGGGAACGUAGCUCCUCUCGGGGAGUGUUAUAGCCCUCGGUGCAAUACGACCCGCCCGGACCGAGGACCGCGCUUCGGCUAGGAUGCUGGCGUAAUGGUUGUAAGCGGCCCGUCUUGAAACACGGACCAAGGAGUCGACCAACUAUGCGAGUGUUUGGGUGUCAAACCCACACGCGCAAUGAAAGUGAACGGAGGUGGGAACCCCUCGCGGGGCGCACCAUCGACCGAUCCAGAUGUCUUCGGAUGGAUUUGAGUACGAGCAUAGCUGGUCGGACCCGAAAGAUGAUGAACUAUGCCUGAAUAGGGUGAAGCCAGAGGAAACUCUGGUGGAGGCUCGCAGCGGUUCUGACGUGCAAAUCGAUCGUCAAAUUUGGGCAUAGGGGCGAAAGACUAAUCGAAUCAUC
rnacentral:rRNA from 1 species